rnacentral:ncRNA from 1 species
CGCUGUCAUGGUGCCGUUGAAAGGCGGUGAAAAGGGAAGCAGGUGUGAGUCCUGCGCAAGCCCGUUGCUGUGAGUCUCCGUAGAGAAGGGGGAGCCAAGUGCCACUGAGGAAGUAGAAUAUACGAAACCUUGGGAAGGCGGUCGCCCUUGAUGAGGCGAGCCAGAAGACCUGCCAUGAUGC